rnacentral:rRNA from 1 species
UACGGAGGGUCCGAGCGUUAUCCGGAAUCAUUGGGCUUAAAGGGUGCGUAGGCGGUAAAGUAAGUCAGUGGUGAAAUCCCUUCGCUCAACGAAGGAACUGCCAUUGAUACUGCUAUACUUGAAUAUAGUCGAAGUGGGCGGAAUGUGACAUGUAGCGGUGAAAUGCUUAGAUAUGUCACAGAACACCGAUAGCGAAGGCAGCUCACUAGACUAACAUUGACGCUCAUGCACGAAAGCGUGGGGAGCGAACAGG